GGACUACCGGGGUUUCUAAUCCUGUUUGCUCCCCAUGCUUUCGCGCCUCAGCGUCAGUUACAGCCCAGUAAACCGUCUUCACCACCGGUGUUCUUCCACAUAUCUACGCAUUUCACCGCUACACGUGGAAUUCCGUUUACCCUAACUGUACUCUAGUCAGAAAGUUUCAAAUGCAGCUCCGGGGUUGAGCCCCGGAAUUUCACAUCCGACUUUUCUAGCCGCCUACGCGCCCUUUACGCCCAGUAAUUCCGAUCAAUGCUUGCACCCUCCGUAUUACCGCGGCUGCUGGCAC
rnacentral:rRNA from 1 species